rnacentral:rRNA from 1 species
GACGAACGCUGGCGGCGUGCCUAAUACAUGCAAGUAGAACGCUGAAGAGAGGAGCUUGCUCUUCUUGGAUGAGUUGCGAACGGGUGAGUAACGCGUAGGUAACCUGCCUUGUAGCGGGGGAUAACUAUUGGAAACGAUAGCUAAUACCGCAUAACAAUGGAUGACACAUGUCAUUUAUUUGAAAGGGGCAAUUGCUCCACUACAAGAUGGACCUGCGUUGUAUUAGCUAGUAGGUGAGGUAAUGGCUCACCUAGGCGACGAUACAUAGCCGACCUGAGAGGGUGAUCGGCCACACUGGGACUGGGACACGGCCCAGACUCCUACGGGAGGCAGCAGUAGGGAAUCUUCGGCAAUGGGGGCAACCCUGACCGAGCAACGCCGCGGGAGUGAAGAAGGGUUUCGGAUCGUAAAGCUCUGUUGUAAGUCAAGAACGGGUGUGAGAGUGGAAAGUUCACACUGUGACGGUAGCUUACCAGAAAGGGACGGCUAACUACGUG